UUCGCGGAUCCCGGCUCGCGGGAGCCUCGGGGCCAGGCCAGGGAGGCAGAGCAAGCUGCAGCCAGCCGGCGCCGGGCUCGUCGGGCUUCGCAGGUCCGGCCAGCCUACCUCGCCCCACCGCGCAGGGGCCAGCGGCGUCGCGGGCGUUUUCGUGGCGGAAUGGCGUCCUCACUGAGCGCCCAGCCACCACCGCGGACUCGCGCUCGCUUCCUCUGGGGCCCGCGCGGCCUGGGGUCGUGUCUGACCGCGGGUGUCCACGCAACACCUCUGCAGUUUCACUUUCCGGGGGAAUCGCGGGGACCUGGAGCGAACUCUUCCCUCCCUCGCGAGGGCCCCGGGCCCCGCUGUGGUCCACAGAGCACCUUGAGGCCCGGCGUGGAAGGGCGAGUUUGGGGCUGUCGGUAACUUAAUGAGGCACGCCUUUGAGUCGUGGGCCUCAUGACGUUUCCGUGGAAGGCGGGCCGCAUAUACUGUGGUGGUCCCUUCAGAUUACCACGUGUUGGCCAGACGCGGUGGCUCACGCCUGUAAUCUCACCGCUUUGGGAGGCCGAGGUGGGGUGGCGGAUCACGAAUCCAGGAAAUCGAGACCAACCUGGUGAAACCCUGUCUCUACUGAAAAUACAAAAAUUAGCCGGGCGUGGUGGCUGGCGAGCGCCGUAACCCCAGCUAUUGGGGAGGCUGAGGCAGGAGAAUCGUUUGAACCCCGGAGGCGAAGCUUGCAGUGAGCUGAGAUGUCGCCAUUGCACUCCAGCCUGGGCGACAGAGUGAGACUCCAUCUCAAAAAUAAAAAAAUAAAAGAUUACCACGUGUUGUUCGGAUCAUCUGGCCUAGGUGUGGGGUAGGCUGUCCCAUCUAGGUUUGUCACAUAACAAAAUCGCCUAAUGACACAUUUCUCAGGACAUAGCUUCACCGUUGAGUAGCACAUGGCCGUAUUGUUUUUUGUUUGUUUGUUUCUGUUGUUUUUUUUGAGACAGAAUGUUGCUCUUGUUGCCCAGGCAGGAGUGCAAUGGCAUGGUCUUGGCUCACUGCAACCUCUGCCUACUGGGUUCGAGCGAUUCUCCUGCCUCAGCCUCCCGAGUAGCUGGAAUUACAGGCGUGCACCACCACGCC
rnacentral:lncRNA from 10 species